rnacentral:lncRNA from 1 species
AAAUAAAGGAAAAGGUAAAAAUAUGUUUAUUCAAAAUUGCAAAGAUGAUGAAUGAAAAAUUUUACAGGCUCCUAAUUAAAAUUAAUACGACGACGCAAGCGGCGAGGGACCUGAUCCAGCGGGGAAGCACCGCGGCGGGGACGCCUCCGACGUCGGCCACGUGGAGGAAUAGAAGAAGAAGAGGCAGGCGGAAGAUCGCC